rnacentral:rRNA from 1 species
UACGGGGGGGGCAAGCGUUGUCCGGAUUUACUGGGCGUAAAGAGCGCGUAGGCGGCUCGUUAAGUGUGAAGUGAAAUCUCCAGGGCUCAACCCGGAAACCGCUUUACAUACUGGCGAGCUGGAGGAAUGCAGAGGUUAGUGGAAUUCCUGGUGUAGCGGUGAAAUUCGUAGAUAUUGGGAAGAACACCGGUGGCGAAGGCGGCGCUCUGGACCGAGACUGACGCUGAGGCGCGAAAGCGUGGGGAGCAAACAGG